CAGAGGGCUACCAUAGGCAGAGCCAGCAGGAAGUUGAGGUAGUUUAUCCCUCCAGGUCUCUCUUUUCUUGAAAAAGGCAAGGCCAUUCCUUGAGAAGGAUGUGAGCUGGAAGUUCAUUAUAGAGGGAUUUGAGGAAGAGUGGAUAAAUUUUGGAGGAUUUGCCAAGAUAAAUGAAGAAAAGAGAUGGCCAAGUUUAAAUAACACAAUUACUGAGAUGCCGUGGGUGCCUGGUGGCUGAGUAAUUGACCUUGGAACCUAGACCGAAUGCAGUCGGAAGCCAUAGAAUUGCAAAGGACAUGAGGCACUCUUGGGCCUGAUUCAUUUCCCACUGCCAACCUGUGGUCUGUGGGACAUGGAUGAACAGAGGAAAGACACAAGGAUGCUCCCAAGAUCCCUUUCCUACAGAUGCUGCCUCCUGCUCUGUGAGCCAGCAUCAUGGUCUCAGUUUUUUGAGCAUGACUUAUUUCCAUUUUUUAUUUCUGUUACAUCUAUUCCAAGAUCUGCUUCCAGCUGUCUGUCUGCCACCUCAAAAGCAGUGCCAAGUGGCUGCUCAGUGGGGCCUGACCAGCAGCCUCAGAAAAGGAAGGAGCUUAGCCAUUCACCCAUGCCUGACAGGAGAAGAACACAGGGCACUAAUUUACCCCCUACCUGGCCACAGAAAGCA
rnacentral:lncRNA from 1 species